GUGAAGGGUCAGGCUCCACAGCAACAGGCAUUUGGGUACACUCUCCUUAGUCAGUGGUGUUACAUAAUGUAGCAAAUGAUUGAUUGAGGCAAAUGAUUGAUAAGAGGCUUAGGCAGUUAACCAUUGUUGCAUAUUAAAGCUUUUUGUUAAUUUCCUCUAAUUAUUACGUGUAAUAGCCCAUAUGUAGACAUACAUUGGGAGUUUGGACAAACGGAAAUACACUUCAUUUGCUAAACACACCAGCCAGCACUGUUCUACUUCCCGAGAUACAACAAAAGUAGGAUUUAGGCGUGCGAUGAUAGAUGGCGCCUCAGGACAAGGAAAAUCUAGGAUCUAGCAAUCCAACGAGCAUCGUAGCUCUGCAGACCUAAUGCAUGCAGACGGUAAGGAGACAUAAAGUAAGGUGAUAAGGAAAGGAGACGAGGGAG